UUUAAAAUAAAGAUUCAACCGAAGACAAUAGGUGCGCAAGCUUAAUACCCUAUCGAGGUUAUACAUUACAGUAUGAAUUCAUGCUCUCUUUGUAUGCCUCGGCGCAAAGAGAGUUUUUUUUAUUGAUA
rfam:Alkalibacter saccharofermentans DSM 14828 genome assembly, contig: EJ14DRAFT_scaffold00023.23